UACAGAGGGUGCAAGCGUUAAUCGGAAUAACUGGGCGUAAAGGGUGCGUAGGCGGAACGCUAAGUCAGAUGUGAAAGCCCCGGGCUCAACCUGGGAACUGCAUUUGAAACUGGCGAUCUAGAGUAGAGAAGAGGAGAGUGGAAUUUCAGGUGUAGCGGUGAAAUGCGUAGAUAUCUGAAGGAACACCAGUGGCGAAGGCGACUCUCUGGUCUCAUACUGACGCUGAGGCACGACAGCGUGGGGAGCAAAC
rnacentral:rRNA from 1 species